rnacentral:rRNA from 1 species
GAUUUUGUUCUUUGAAAACUAGAUAUUGAUUUAUUUCUUAAAAAUAAACCGAGAACACCGCGUUUUAAAGAGUUUAAAACAAGAAUUAUAGUUCUUAAUCGCUAAACUCAUAACCUAUUAUCGUUAGAUAAUAUUAGGUUAAGUUAUUAAGGGCGUAUGGUGGAUGCCUUGGCACUAGGAGCCGAUGAAGGACGUGACUAACUGCGAUAUGCUUCGGGGAGUUGUAAGUAAACUAUGAUCCGGAGAUUUCCGAAUGGGGAAACCUAACAGGUUUUACCGCCUGUUAUCACUAAGUGAAUUCAUAGCUUAGUUGAAGGUAGACGUGGGGAACUGAAACAUCUAAGUACCCACAGGAAGAGAAAGAAAUUCGAUUCCCUCAGUAGCGGCGAGCGAACCGGGAAGAGCCCAAACUAAGAAGCUUGCUUCUUAGGGUUGUAGGACUGAACA